CACGCCAUCCUCCGCCUUUUGUUCCUCCCCACGAGCGCCGCCCAACCUUCCGGCGCCGCAUUGCCGCUCGCCGCCGCGGCCGUAGUCGCAGCCCCCGGUGGCCCGUAACUCCCCGAGGCCGUCUCAAUCUUCCCCAAAUUACUGUAUUCGGGAGAAGCGAGAGAUGGCCCUGUGCAUCCGAGGGCUCUGCCUGGCCGGCCGUUGGCAGCCGUGGCCAUGGGCCGAUGCAUCGGGCGGUCGUACCAGGAGGAGCUACACGUGGGGCAUCAGAGGGAGGAGCCGAUGUCGCCGGGAGGAGGUAGUCAAGCGCCACCGACGCCCCACCUUAUACGGCCGGGUCUUGGGGAGCCUGCGCCGCUAGGAGCAGCGGCGUGGCCGCCGGCCACCGUCGGCGUCGUGCUGGGAGCCACCUUCACCGGUUCGUCGACUAAGUGUGCGUCCGCCUUAGGCUGAAGCGGCAGAAGUCGCGCUGCCGUGAGAAACGAGCCAAGCCCGCUUCGUUCCGGUCGAGGAUCACAGGGUCGACAGAUCAGGUUAAAUGCACAGGCACGCACUCAGUCUUCCUUACUGAAAUAUGUGCUGCAUCGAGGCCAUCAGUGGAGAGUCCACGAACCAAUCUAUAUGAACUGGAUUUUAUCAUUGUUGAAAGCGAGAUACUUCCCAGACAGAUACAUGUGCCUUAGGAAGCGUGAGAACAACAGAACAUUGCCAGUAUGUAAUGUCAUGGCAUCCAUUUCCUUGAAGAAUUUUACUACUUCAAUGCUGUCAAGCAAUAUGCGACAUGAUCUUGCAAUUUACAUGUGCCACGAACUUUGGUGCAAUCCUUGUGCCUUCCAAGUUCUAAGUAUAGCUAUUUACUUACAGUGCGCAUUUGCCUUUUGUUGAGGCUGGUGAGAAAAUUGUUCUUCAUACUAUUAUGGAUGGUUCCCAUAUGACAAGGUAAUCUAUGAGAAAUCUCAGUUUCCCAAAUCAUUGUCAUAUUAUUUUUCAGAUCAAUACUGUAAGUCUGUAACAAGAAAUCUCGGUUACCUAGAUGGAUGAAUUUAUAUUGUUUUAGGUGAAUAUAGCGAUGCCACUGUGUUUUACUAGGUAUUUUGUAGGCACUAUUGUUUGGCCCUGAAGCUAUACCGAGCAGUGCCAACCACUCCUCAUGAUUUUAUGUUUUGCUUUUCGUAGUGCUGCUAAGGUUAAAAUAUACCGUCUGAUUUAUAUUGUUCACCUACGCACCUUAGGUUUUUUUCUGAAGUUCAAUUCUGAUGAGUAGAUGGAAAAAUUUAUCUGGGCAGAUGAGUAAAUCAAAUACAGUCCCAAGCUGUAAACUUCCAUCUUGCUAUUUUGACUACUUCUGUGACCGCCUCUUGGCUUACCGUAUGUUUUAACAUUUAUAGCUUAUAUGGUUCUCCCAUGUCCUUUUAUUCACGUGAAUGAACUAUUGAUAUAUGGUUGUUGCGUUUGAUUGCCCAGUUUCCUUCAUUAUUUGAGGUGUGCACUGUGUCAGUCAAAUGCAACAAAAGAACACAGGUUUAUAGUGUGUAUUCCAAGGAUAGUGUUGAAUGAUCCAUUGACAAGGUGUCCUUUUACAGUACAGCGUCGGUAAUACCCAAUCUGUGUUUCAGAUUCUGUAGUACUCGGUUCUUCUGUUCGACGAGUUCUUAUUUUCCUAGGUCUAAUAAUAUGUUUACUGGUUCGUUUUCACCCAAGGAGACAGCUAGAAAUCAAGUUUUGUCAGUAGGCUGGCGUACAAGGAGGAUGUGCUACCCUAUGACUAUAAACAAAAGCCUAUCUACAGUUUUAUGUGGCGUCUCAAGGGUGGCUUCUGAGCAAUGGAUUAAACUAGAGGAGAAUGGUAGCCCCUGUACACAUACUAUAAGUAUUGUGUAUGUUAAGUGCUGAGCAGCCUUCAAGAUGAUUUGCUACCCAUGCUCUUUCUCCUUUCCGUUGGACCUGUAUCAUGUUUCUAUAAACCGUAGUAUAACUGGUCGCAUGUAUGAUAAGUAGUGAUGUCUGACAUUUUACCGUGUUUAAGCUAUGUUUCCUCUUACACUUUCAUAUUAGCUUCUAAGAAUCAAUUUCCCUAUUUUUGAACUAAAUGUACAUCGGUGUCAGUUAGCUUCCCCUAUGUAUGUAAUUCAAUGUGUAUAGUAUACUAGAACUGCAACCCUUUUUUAUUGCCUACUGUGUUAUCUACCAAAACUGAAUUGAUGCAACCGAACAUGUCGACACCGAAUAUAGAACAGACAAGGAGAAUGGUAGCCCAUGUACACAUACUAUAAGUAUUGUGUACUCUUAAGUGCUGAGCAGCCUUCAAGAUGAUUUGCUACCCAUGCUCUUUCUCCUUUCCAUGGACCUGUAUCAUGUUUCUAUAAACUGUAGUAUAACUGGUCGCAUGUAUGAUAAGUAGUGAUGUCUGACCUUUUACCGUGUUUAAGCUAUGUUUCCUCUUACACUUUCAUAUUAGCUUCUAAGAAUCAAUUUCCCUAUUUUUUGAAGUAAAUGUACAUCGGUGUCAGUUUUUUUCGAUAAAGGGAAUAUAUUAAUAUCGAGAGAUACCAAUUACACCCAGCCUCUGCAACAACGCACCACCCUAAUGGCACUACGGAUGCACACAGCCAAAAAAAUGGAAAAGAAAACUAAGAAACAAAAGUCCCGCUACAGUAUCACGGACCUAACAACAGCAAUACAUCCACCACCAUGACAACACAUGAAUUGCAGACUCUCCAAAAAACGACGCCUCCAAGAAGGGAACAGUGCUCCAACACCGUCGUCGCCCGAUCAAAGAUCUUAGGUUUUCACUCUGAAGAUAGUCCCCACUCUCAAAACAAUGCCUCCACCAAGGUCACUGCCAGGCACAACCAGUUAAGGCCAGGCAUUGGGUUUUCACCCUGAAAGGUAGGACUCUGCGCUUCACAUGUGUUGUCGCCCCCAUUUUCAUACCGCUGUGUGAAGCCCGUACACCAAGCAAGCCCCUCAACAGCGCAGAGACUUGAACCUCUCUUAGCUUCCCCUAUGUAUGUAAUUAAAUGUGUAUAGUAUACUAGAACUGCAACCUUUUUUAUUGCCUGCUGUGUUAUCUACCAAAACUGAAUUGCUGCAACCGCACAUGUCGACACAUAAUAUAGAACAGACAACUAAUUUACUCCCAAGUUGAAUAGAACUAAGUACAAUCGAUACCACCGAAGACGACUUUGUAUCAUGUGCUGUCUCUAUUUCGUCUGCCACUUCUAUACCUUGGCACAUCUGUAGUUCUUUGUUAGUUCAAAUUUUAGAGUAAGCUUCAGUUAAAUAAAAUGGGUUUCAGCAAGUCUAAACACUCUCAAUGCGCCGCAAUAUCAAUCCCUUAAGUAUCCAUGUAAUUCCACACAUUUUUAUAUCCACCUACCUAUUGCUGUAGAAAUCCCGCACACUACCAAUUAACCCUGACAUCAAGUAGCUAAGUAUCCAUGUAUAAUAUUAUUGUACUUGAUUUGGUACUGAUGUGCUUAAGUUUCCUGUUUCAUUGAUGUUUUGAACCAUCAAUAACCGAGAUGGGAUUUCCGGUUGAUUUAGGGUCACGAGAAUUAUGCCUCAAUGUGUAGAGUAUUCAAAUAAAUCAUGACUUGAAGAUUUAUCAAGAGAGGUAUUGUGGCACUUAUCCUGGAGACCAAGAUACAAAAUGUCAAGCAGCAAGCUUAUCAUUUGUGUAAGCUUCCAUUUUAGGAAAAGGUAUCCGCGGCUAAAUGUAUACUUGGAAAAGAAUUACAGAGACUGAAACAGGAGCCCUUAGAAAGGGGGAAAAGAGGUCUGGGGCAUGGCUCUGCAAAGAGACAUACAUGGACGCCCACGAAAGCAUGUAAAUAAAGAGUUGACACACAAAUAAUAUUUUUAAUUAAGCCAUAUAUUGAGUAAUGUACGCACAUGUUUCCAGUACUGAAACUCACUGUUGAUUUUAUGAUAUAUCGAAUUUGAUGUUAGCGAA